CUCUAGAAGGAAUCACACAUGGUCGUUUAUUCCCAUUAGCAACCCCAAACAAGCCAGUGGCUUUACCCCAACAGCAGAAAAGCCUAGGUUAUUUUUAAAUGUACUCAGUUUAACGUUUCAUAAUCCGUGAUUUCCCAACGACAAAAAGAAGCGAUGGCACAGCUGUGAAAGUUACAUGAGAACUCCGAGGGCUACCAAGUAGGGAAAGAGGCAACAGAGGGCAAUGCACACGCUCUAGACGAGUGGAAGGCCUGGGAUCCCCGUCUGAGGAGCCUACUUCCGUUUCUGUAACAGCGUUGCCUGUUUGCUUUGGGGAGAUCUCGAGAAAAUACAGAAGCUUUGUCAGAGCCUAAAGAGGAAGUCGAGAACUGUAAUGAGAUGACAAGUCACUCUCUGACCCCCAACACAGCUUGUUUUUGAAGCAACUUGUUCCUGGACCCCCAGUCCAGCUUGUUUCAUGAAAGCUGAGAGGUGGAUGUCCUGUAUUUCUGCCACUGGCUUGCCCUUAACUUCACUUGUCCCUUCAGCUCUCGACUCCCCGCCGUCAGAGGCAGUCCUGAGCCAUCUUUUGCGCAUCGUUCCUGUGACUUAAGAGCUGGUCUCCUGGACUCCCGAUGUCUGUUUCCUUGUGAGGCGCCUCUCUGCCUCACGUGCUGCUGCGAUGUCUGUUCUCAACUUUCUUCUGCCAUCCACACAUCCACAGAGGGCUGAUCUCUCGAACCUUGAGUAAUUGCUGGAAGAUAAAGCAUUGCAACCAAAGAUUGGAGAGGGCAGUCCAUUCUUAGAGAUGGCACAAUGAUUAUCAAGCCGGCUGAGCCCACCAAGUAUCUUUAUCUUCAGAAAAACAGAGGACAAACUCAUUCAACCUAGAGUGGCUCCGAUCGUCACCUCUCCCGAGGGUGUUAACGCUCCAAACAGAAGAUACGAAGGAAGAGGACGGGAGCCUCGGGAAGAGAAUCGAGAGGACUUCCCGCCGCCCAGACCUCGAAACGCAACUGUGCGCUUUCGCCUGUCCCUUGAACAACCACAUGUGUAUUUCCUGACUCAAAACAUAGUUCAUAAUCUAAUGAGGUCUUUCAGAUUAGCUUCUUUCGGUGGAUAUGAAAUUCUUGUAGGUAUACAAUUUAAAUGACAAGUACUAUGCCUUCCACGGCUGAAGGCCACCAAAUGGAGAGAACGCUUGGAAAAUCAGAGAAUCGAUGGAAAACUUUAAAACUCCCGGUGGCCGCGCUGACCAGUAAAACCGGACGGUCCGGAAAAGGGACGUGCCGGGCAGCACGAGCACCCGCAUUCUUCUGCCUUCAUCGCCUGCAGUAAAAGUUCGCCGCAAAGGUCAGCCCCUCCUCCAUCGCCACUCGCGCGUGUCUUUUCUUCUCUAAGUGCUAAUAUUUUUAAGAAAAAAUGCAAUGCACGUAUCUAUCUGCAAGAUAUUGCAGAUUUUCUUCAAUUUUCAUUUGUUGAAUAAAUAAAAGCAGAAUAUUGAAGAUUGA